GGAGAGUUGUCCGAGUGGUUUAAGGUGCAUGAUUGGAAAUCAUGUGUACGCCUCAAGCGUACCGAGGGUUCAAAUCCCUCAUUCUCCGCCA
rnacentral:tRNA from 1 species